CCUCCUCCUCUUCCUCUCCACUUCACCGCCUACUUUCCUUCCUCUUCCUCCUCCUCAAAGACUCUUAAGAAGGAGGAGGAGGAGGAGGAGGUGACAAACAAGUUACUGAUAAAUGUACAACUCUUGCAGUCUCUUUCAACAUUGUUCUAACCUCUCCCUUCCCUUCGCUUCCCUUCCCUUCCCUUCCCUUCCCUUUCCUUUCCUUCGAUUCCAUUCGCUAUCAAACUCCCUUCAUCCCUUCAGUUCCUUUCAUUCACCUUAUUUAAGCCGUUUGUCUAUUUAUAAACUAAUGUAUUAUGUUGGGUUUGAUAAGUUUAUGAUACGUUAGGAAGGGUUAGGAUAGGUUAGAUUAGGUUAGGAUAGUUUAGGUUAGGAUAGGUUAGGUUAGGUUAAGUAAUGACAGAUCAGGUUAAGUUAGGUUAGGUCAGGUUAGGCUAGGUUAGGAUAGGUUAGAUUAGGUAUAGAUAGUUUAGGUUAGGAUAGGUUAGGAUAGGAUAGGUUAGGUAAUGAUAGAUCAGGUUAAGUUAGGUUAGGUCAGGUUAGUUUAGGUUAGGUCAGGUCAGCUCAGGUCAGGUUAGGUCAAGUUAUGUUAUAAAAUGCUAGAUCAGGUUAGGUUAGAAUAGGUUAGUAUUAGAUUAUCUUAAGGUAGAUCAGAUUAGUAUAGGUUAUAUUAGGUCUGGUCUGGUUUAGUCAGGUCAGGUUAGGUCAGGUCAGUUCAGAACUACAAGGCUACUUUCUGUACUCACCGUUCUUCUUUUUCUUCUAUAGACAAGUUAGGUCAGGUCAGGUCAGGUCAGUUCAGGUCAAAAUAACAGUUCAAGGGUCCAUGUACUCAUCGUUUUUCUUGUUCUUUCUAAAGACAAGUUAGAUCAGGUCAGGUCAGGUCAGGUUAGCACUCAAGGGUCAUGUACUCACCGUUCUUCUCGUUCUUUCUAUAGACAAGUUAGGUCAGGUCAGGUCAGGUCAGUUCAGGACGAUAACAAUUCAGGAGUCCAUGUACUCACCGUUCCUUUUGUUCUUUCAAUAGACAAGUUAGGUCAGUUCAGGUCAGGUCAGUUCAGGUCAGGUCAGGUCAGGUCAGGUCAGGUCAGGUCAGGUCAAGAUAACAAUUCAAGGGCCCAUGUACUCACCGUUCCUUUUGUUCUUUCAAUAGACAAGUUAGGUCAGUUCAGGUCAGGUCAGGUCAGGUCAGGUCAGGUCAGGUCAGGUCAGGUCAGGUCAAGAUAACAAUUCAAGGGCCCAUGUACUCACCGUUCUUCUUGUUCUUCUUCGGACUGUCGCUCCCGAGACUGCUUCGUCCACAUCCCAUGGCGAGCACCCAACCAUCGUUCUGCGCCCCGACUCCUCCUCCUCCUCCUCAGGGCGUCUUCCUCCUCCUCCGCCUCCUCCUCCUCCUCCUCGUCCGGGCGUCUUCCUACUCCUCCUCCUCUUCCACCGGCGUCUCCCUGUGCUUACUCCCUGGUCUGUUCUUCACGCCAUUUUGCUCCCUGACUUAUAAGGGUGAGAACGGGAAGGGAGAAGGGAGAGGAGGAAGAUGAGGGAGAGAAUGGGAAGGAGGAAAGCAGGGUGAAGAGGAAGGGAGGAUGAGGGAGAUGAUGGGAAGAGGAAGGGAGAAAGUUAGGGAGAGAAUGAGGGAGGAUAUGAAGGAAGAGGGAGAGGAAGAAUGAG